rnacentral:lncRNA from 1 species
CAAAGCUCUCUGAACAACAAGCAUCGGUGGUCAGGGAUGGCUGCUAGUCAAAUGUGAAUGUUCUUCAACCCGCCUUGUGGUUUCACUUCAGCUUCUUCUGGGAGGGGGUGGGUGGUUGAGGCCACUGAAGGCUUCUAGGACACUCAACGCUUUUCAACCUGUGGUCCGCGGGCCGCUGGUUCUCAGCUGGGGGAUGCAGAUGCUUAGAGAAAUGACUUAAACAUUUCAAAGAUCCUUUUUGAAUACUUUUUUUCUCCCAAAAAAAUAUAUCGUAAAAAUCCAUAUGAUUCUUAGUAAUAACGAUUGCUCUCGAUUUCGUUCACUGAUAUAAUGUACUGUAAAUAUGAGCUGCAAGAUAUUUUAUUUUGUUCUCUGGAAGAAGUUUGACACCACUGUUUUUGGACAGGGAGAAGACACCAGCCCUCAUGAACACUGGACGAGUUCUUCGCUUUUCACAAACUUGGGAGCCAUCGGUCAGAGGCAGGUGCAUGAGAAGACGGAAGCCGUGCGGACGACGACAACGGAGGAAGUACAGUGCAGUCAUCCAUAAAGUAGAAAGCACUACUAAACUCCUCGCCAC